UGAUCUAAUCCGGUAUUUAAAAGGUGCAUUACUUUCACCCUGCCCAGUUAAACAAACUUGAGUGUUGCAAUAGCUUCAUCUCUAUGUUGCAAGAGCGCACCACUUAAAAUCCUAGAACAAGAAAUGUUUGUUGUUGGUUACGGCUUGUGGCUGUGCUCAACCUUUUUACUUUCCUAUAAUACCUGAAAAUCUGCCCCCUUUCGGCCCGAUCUUUGAGUGCUGCAUGGAAGAUGGUAUGUAAUCAUCCAUGAAUGAAUCCCAAGAGACAAUUUGGCAAGCUGUUAUUAACAAUUAAAUGGAUAAACACUGCUCCUUUUUAAAGGAAACAUAGUAUGUAAACACAGAAGAAACAGUUCUGGCCUGAAGGGAUUGUCUAGAACCUAUGGACAGACAGGAGUAGAGUGCCAAGGAAGUUAGGAAACAGAGUGUGUGGGUGUGUCAUUCCCAGGGAACCAAGGUCUAGGAAAAAUGAACCUGAGCUGGUUAAACAUUCAUUCUAAGCCAGUAGAGUUUAGUGUGAGGCUUCUGUUUCAAUGAAGAAGCCAACACUGCAUUUCCCCCAUCAAGCAAUUCUCUUGUUCCUUUCCAGAAGGAUAGUAAUUUCAGAAACAGAAGGAUGGAGGACCCAGAUACCUGAACAGCAGAAUCCAGAAAUCUGAAGCAAUUGGACACUAUUUAAUUUCACCAAGGUCAACCAACUGGAAAAGCCAAUGUAAAAUACCAAAUCCGUGUGCCAGAAAAGCAUCCUAUCAAAGAACUCCACAAUCUGCCUUAUUGCACCAUAUUUCUGUUAAAGAGAAGACAUCCCUUGCCCCCUGAAAACAGAAGGAUCCUUAAAGUUAAUCUAGAACUUUGUCCAGGUAUCGGCAGGAGGUCUCUGCACAAGAGCAACGAUCCAGGAGAAGGAAGUGGCGCUUGCUUCUCUUGUUUGCCUUUUAAGAACCCGGGGCUUCCCAAGCUCAUCCCCGUCCCCACCUCAGCAACACUCCUCCCGCCGGUCGGUUACCUUUCUGAGCA